rnacentral:rRNA from 1 species
GGACUAAUACCGCAUAAGCCCUUCGGGGGAAAGCAGGGGAUCUUCGGACCUUGCGCUAUUAGAUGAGCUUAGGUCGGAUUAGCUAGUUGGUAGGGUAAAGGCCUACCAAGGCGACGAUCCGUAGCUGGUCUGAGAGGAUGAUCAGCCACACUGGGACUGAGACACGGCCCAGACUCCUACGGGAGGCAGCAGUGGGGAAUAUUGGACAAUGGGCGCAAGCCUGAUCCAGCCAUGCCGCGUGUGUGAAGAAGGCUCUAGGGUUGUAAAGCACUUUAAGCAGGGAAGAUAGUGCGUUGGGUUAAUACCCCUUCGUAUGGACGG